rnacentral:rRNA from 1 species
GAACCGUACGAACGUUAUUCGGAAUUACUGGGCUUAAAGGGUUUGUAGGCGGCCAUGUAAGUCAGGUGUGAAAUCCCUCGGCUCAACCGAGGAACGGCGCUUGAUACUGCAUGGCUUGAGGGAGACAGGGGUAAGCGGAACUGAUGGUGGAGCGGUGAAAUGCGUUGAUAUCAUCAGGAACACCGGUGGCGAAAGCGGCUUACUGGGUCUCUUCUGACGCUGAGGAACGAAAGCUAGGGUAGCGAACGGGAUUAGAUACCCCGGUAGUCCUAGCUGUAAACGAUGAGCACUUAUCUGGGGACCCUCCCAUAGGUUCCCGGAUGUAGCGAAAGUGUUAAGUGCUCCGCCUGGGGAGUAUGGUCGCAAGGCUGAA